AGUGAACGCUGGCGGUAGGCCUAACACAUGCAAGUCGAACGGCAGCACAGUAAGAGCUUGCUCUUACGGGUGGCGAGUGGCGGACGGGUGAGGAAUACAUCGGAAUCUACUUUUUCGUGGGGGAUAACGUAGGGAAACUUACGCUAAUACCGCAUACGACCUACGGGUGAAAGCAGGGGAUCUUCGGACCUUGCGCGAUUGAAUGAGCCGAUGUCGGAUUAGCUAGUUGGCGGGGUAAAGGCCCACCAAGGCGACGAUCCGUAGCUGGUCUGAGAGGAUGAUCAGCCACACUGGAACUGAGACACGGUCCAGACUCCUACGGGAGGCAGCAGUGGGGAAUAUGGGACAAUGGGCGCAAGCCUGAUCCAGCCAUAGCGCGUGGGUGAAGAAGGCGUUCGGGUUGUAAAGCCCUUUUGUUGGGAAAGAAAAGCAGCAGGUUAAUACCCCGCUGUUCUGACGGUACCCAAAGAAUAAGCACCGGCUAACUUCGUG
rnacentral:rRNA from 1 species